CCGGCCGUGCACUCUGUCUUGCAUAAGAAUUAGGGAUGGUUACUCUUGUUGCUGUCCGGUCUGGUCGGGGAUGGCAGGCCGUCGUCCGCCUGGGAGGUCGUGAGCUCGAGGCAACCCCGGGUAGACCGGGCAGGUUGUCGGAGGCUCCGACGCGGUCCUCUGCGGCGCACACGACUUGCAGCUUGGGAGUGUCCUGACAGUAGUCGGCGACCUGGGCGCCGCCAGUCCAUCGUACACGAUGAAAAUGUGGGCGAGGGGGCGGAAGGAGGAGCGGUAGUAGGACGUGUUAGCAGAGCACGGAAGGAGUCGGUGAGGGAACCACACCGCACACGGACGGCGGGGUGAGAGGCUGGCGCCGAGUUCGUGUCAAAGCUCUCGCCGGAUGUGCUUCUCUUCUACUUUCUCCAGUCCUUCACACCCGACAUGUUCACCUUGACAGUCCGUCCUCGCCGUCGUCGACAAUGCAUGCUCUUUUGUUUGCCAGCGAAGGACGAUGUGCAGCCGCUGCCACAGUGGGUACAUCGGCCGUGGCGCUGCCGACUCCCCGGGCGGGUUCAUUGCGAUCUCCUGGAGUCUGGAUAGUCGACUGCCUCCGGGUCGUUCCACGCGGGCGGAGCGAGGGCGACAGACAGCUACUGCGGCAACGCAGAGGUCCAAAGGAAAAGCUGAAGUCGGUGCUGAGCGACGCCGUCCAGGUCGGUGGCCGUGCGGCCCGCUGGCAGAACGGAGGGAGUAACUGGUCGGGCACACCGUUGACUUAUUAAACGUGUGCAGUGCUCUCAGUUACUCCCUCCGUUCCAAAUUACUCGUCGUGGUUUUAGUUCAAAUUUGUACUAAAACCACGACGAGUAAUUUGGAACGGAGGGAGUAGUAAUUUAAAACGUACACACUCAAUGACAUGUCAAGUUGAUUUUUUAAUUUCUAUAGAGGUAGUGUUACUUAUGGUCGUUGCAUGUUCGAGACACGUAUCUCUGGUCAUUGGCCGCUCCUAACACAUAUAAUGAGUAGUGAAGUGCCAUCCAUGAGAUCCAUAUGCCGACGAUGCAAUUCUUACACACAGCGAGCUUAAUCUUAAACCAUAUAUAUCUUUACUCAUGUGGUAGUAGUUCACUGAAAUAAUCUCCUUGCCAUUACACUAUUUCUACAAAAGCCUAAUUUCAAGCUUUAGUUUCAGUCUGUCCACCUAGAUUACAACUAAAAUUCUAGAACGACAGACUAUACGGGUUUUUCUAUGGGAUUCUUCUCGCUAACUAAUCUCCAUCCCUCUGAUUUUCAAGGGUAUGGGCCCCUCACUCGCUUUUCUUUUAAUCAAUUGAACCCAGCUAAGCAUCCUGUACAUUUAGUAAAAAUCUGCCCGUGCGUGUAGCAUUGCUCAGAUUACAAUAUAGUUAUACACAUACCCAAGGGUCUCUAUUCAUAUAUUUGUGUAUUAUUCGUCUAAAAUUUGAUUCAACAUGCACCUCUUGGCUGUCAAAUUAAGGCAUGUA